GCUUCGGUGGCCUAAUUGGUUAGAGCGUCCUCCUCAGAUGUGGAAGGUCACAGGUUCAAAUCCUUGUUGAAUCA